GCCGGGCGUGGUGGCUCACGCCUGUAAUCCCAGCACUUUGGGAGGCUGAGGCAGGUGAAUCACUUGAGGUCAGGAGUUCGAGACCAGCCUGGCCAACAUGGUGAAACCCCGUCUCUA
rnacentral:SRP_RNA from 1 species